UACGUAGGGGGCAAGCGUUGUCCGGAGUUACUGGGCGUAAAGCGCACGCAGGCGGUCUGUUAAGUUUGGAGUGACAGUUGGUGGCUUAACUGCCAAAGUGCUUUGAAAACUGACAGACUUGAGGGCUUCAGAGGGACACGGAAUUCCGGGUGGAGUGGUGAAAUGCGUAGAUAUUGGGAAGAACACCGGUGGCGAAGGCGGCUAUCUGGACCGGAACUGACGCUGAGGCGCGAAAGCCAGGGGAGCGAAUGGG
rnacentral:rRNA from 1 species